AUUCUGUCCGUAAGAAGACUCUGUACUGCGUGGAAUGUGUGGGUUUUCCCUGGGUGCUCCCGUUUCUUCCAGAAUUCCAAAGAUGUUAGCAGGUAGAACUAAGAAAAUUUGCCUAGAGUUAUAUCUGUCAUUUCGGAACGACGUACGGAUAUGAACAAGCAUUUUCAGCUAUGAAAUUGAUUAAAAGCAAAACGAGGUCGCGACUGACUAAUUCAAAUUUGAAGAAUUCUCUGCUGCUCUCAGUAACUAAUUUAACUCCAAACAUUAAAAGCUUGGCGAAAUCAAAACAGACUCAAAAGUCUCAUUAAGCUAAUUUGUGUUGACGAAGGAUCUCGGCCUGAAACGUCGACUGUACCUCUUCCUAGAGAUGCUGCCUGGCCUGCUGCGUUCACCAGCAACUUUGAUGUGUGUUGCUUGAAUUUCCAGCAUCUGCGGAAUUCCUGUUGUUUGUGUUCUGUCUUUUUCAAUCUUAAUAAAGAGUUCUCAGAUGUUAAUGGUAUUUUCUUUCCACAACGCUGUCUGAUCUGGUGAGCAUUUCCAGCUUUUUCUGGUUUCAUUUUUUACAUGUCCAUGCCAUGGAAAAUGAGGGCCAUUAAACAAGGUUGGGGUUAGUUAUGAGGUCCACCACUGCAUUUCCAAGUUUCAACAGUCACACCGAGAGAUGGUCGCGUUCCUGCCAGGCACACCUAACACCAAUUGUUUCAGCCAGAGAAAGCAGGAUAUCCCGGUGGCCACACA